UACGUAGGUGGCAAGCGUUGUCCGGAUUUACUGGGCGUAAAGAGCGCGCAGGCGGUCGUUCAAGUCGCGUGUGAAAGCCCCCGCUCAACUGGGGAGGUCACGCGAUACUGAUCGACUCGAAGGCAGGAGAGGGUAGUGGAAUUCCCGGUGUAGUGGUGAAAUGCGUAGAUAUCGGAGGAACACCAGUGGCGAAGGGCGGCUUCUGGCCUGUUCUUGACGCUGAGGCGCGAAAGCUAGGGGAGCAACGGGGAUUAA
rnacentral:rRNA from 1 species